rfam:Scleropages formosus scaffold71, whole genome shotgun sequence.
UGGGUAAACAAUUGUAAGUUGCUUUGGAUAAAAGUGUCUGCUAAAUAAAUGAAU